rnacentral:misc_RNA from 1 species
UCCGGUUUAUCACCGGCAGUCUCCUUAAAGUCCCCGACAUUACUCGCUGGCAACAUGGGAUAAGGGUUGCGCUCGUUGCGGGACUUAACCCAACAUCUCACGACACGAGCUGACGACAGCCAUGCACCACCUAUCGCAGGCCCUUUCGGACACCACAUCUCUGUGGCUUUUCCUGCGUAGUUCAACCCAGGUAAGGUUCUUCGCGUUGCAUCGAAUUAAGCAACAUGCUCCACCGCUUGUGCGGGCCCCCGUCAAUUCCUUUGAGUUUCAGCCUUGCGGCCGUACUCCCCAGGCGGGGCACUUACUGCGUUAGCGACGGCACCGGGAGGGUCGCUCCCCCCGACGCCUAGUGCCCAUCGUUUACGGCGUGGACUAU